rnacentral:rRNA from 1 species
UACGAAGGGGGCAAGCGUUGUCCGGAUUUAUUGGGCGUAAAGAGCGUGUAGGCGGUUAGGUAGGUCCGUUGUGAAAACUCGAGCUCAACCUCGAGACGCCGAUGGAAACCCCCUAACUAGAGUCCGGAAGAGGAGAGUGGAAUUCCUGGUGUAGCGGUGAAAUGCGCAGAUAUCAGGAAGAACACCCGCGGCUAAGGCGGCUCUCUAGUACGGUACUGACGCUGAGACGCGAAAGCGUGGGGAGCGAACAGG